CUUACUAUAGAUUAUAAGUCUUCAAGUGAUUGUAAUUGGGAAGAAAUAUGAAGAGAUUGAUUCAUGGUAUAUGCUUGCUCUUGUGGCUGCAGCUGAACUGGGUGAGUGAAGGAGAGAAGCUGGAGCAGGGUCCGUCUAUCCUGAGCAUGCAGGAGGGAGACAGCUGUGUCAUCAACUGUACUUAUUCAGACAGUGCUUCAGACUACUUUCUUUGGUACAAGCAAGAACCAGGACAGGGUCUUCAGCUCAUUAUAAACAUUCUUUCAAAUAGAGACAAAAUUGAAAAUGACAAAUUCCUUGUGUUUUUGAAAAAGAAGAACAAACACUUCUCCCUGCACAUCAAAGAUGCACAGCCUGGGGACUCGGCAGUCUACUUCUGUGCAGCAAGAACACAUUGCUCCUCAGGCACCUGCAGCCUGUCUUCAAACUUGCCACCAAGACUGGAGCUCCAGCCCAUACUUUGCCACAGACCUUCUUGCACAGCAUUUGCCAAUUGUUUGCAAGUAGCAGCUAACACACAAACAUUUAGGUCUAAGGAGACCCUGACAGGAAAUUUCAUUGAAAAUUAA